rnacentral:rRNA from 1 species
CCUACGGGAGGCAGCAGUGAGGAAUAUUGGUCAAUGGGCGCUAGCCUGAACCAGCCAAGUAGCGUGAAGGAUGACUGCCCUAUGGGUUGUAAACUUCUUUUAUAUGGGAAUAAAGUGCAGUAUGUAUACUGCUUUGCAUGUACCUUAUGAAUAAGGAUCGGCUAACUCCGUGCCAGCAGCCGCGGUAAUACGGAGGAUCCGAGCGUUAUCCGGAUUUAUUGGGUUUAAAGGGAGCGUAGGCGGGUUGUUAAGUCAGUUGUGAAAGUUUGCGGCUCAACCGUAAAAUUGCAGUUGAUACUGGCAUCCUGGAGGACAGUAGAGGUAGGCGGAAUUCGUGGUGUAGCGGUGAAAUGCUGAGAGAUCACGAAGAACUCCGAUUGCGAAGGCAGCCUUCUGGACUGUAACUGACGCUGAUGCUCGAAAGUGUGGGUAUCAAACAGGAUUAGAUACCCCAGUAGUC